rnacentral:rRNA from 1 species
GAUUAACGCUAGCGGCAGGCAUAAUACAUGCAAGUUGAACGGGAUUAGUUUAGCAAUAGACUAUGAGAGUGGCGCACGGGUGCGUAACACGUAUGCAACCUGCCCUUGACUGGAGAAUAGCCUCUCGAAAGAGAGAUUAAUGUUCCAUAACAUAAUGAUAGAGCAUUCUAUUAUUAUCAAAGCUCCGGCGGUCAAGGAUGGGCAUGCGGUUGAUUAGCUAGUUGGUGAGGUAACGGCUCACCAAGGCGACGAUCAAUAGGGGGUCUGAGAGGAUGUCCCCCCACACUGGUACUGAGAUACGGACCAGACUCCUACGGGAGGCAGCAGUAGGGAAUAUUGGUCAAUGGAGGCAACUCUGAACCAGCCAUGCCGCGUGCAGGAAGACUGCCCUAUGGGUUGUAAACUGCUUUUGUACGGGAAGAAACCUUCGAAUGCGUUCGAAGUUGACGGUACCGUGAGAAUAAGGAUCGGUUAACUUCGUGCCAGCCGCCGCGGUAAAAC